rnacentral:rRNA from 1 species
AGCUUGUUGGUUGGGUAACGGCCUACCAAGGCGACGAUGGUUAGCUGGUCUGAGAGGAUGAUCAGCCACACUGGAACUGACACACGGUCCAGACUCCUACGGGAGGCAGCAGUGAGGAAUUUUGCGCAAUGGGGGAAACCCUGACGCAGCAACGCCGCGUGAGUGAUGAAGGCUUUCGGGUCGUAAAGCUCUGUCAAGUGGGAAGAAACCACGAGGUGAUAAUAUCGCUUUGUGCUGACGGUACCACUGAAGGAAGCACCGGCUAACUCCGUGCCAGCAGCCGCGGUAAUACGGGGGGUGCAAGCGUUAUUCGGAAUCAUUGGGCGUAAAGGGCGCGUAGGCGGUUUGUUAAGUCAGAUGUGAAAGCCCGGGGCUCAACCCCGGAAGUGCAUUUGAUACUGGCGGACUUGAGUAUGGGAGAGGGAAGUGGAAUUCCUGGUGUAGAGGUGAAAUUCGUAGAUAUCAGGAGGAACACCGGUGGCGAAGGCGACUUCCUGGACCAAUACUGACGCUGAGGCGCGAAGGCGUGGGUAGCAAACAGGAUUAGAUACCCUGGUAGUCCACGCAGUAAACGGUGAUCACUAGGUGUAGCGGGUAUUGACCCCUGCUGUGCCGCAGUUAACGCAUUAAGUGAUCCGCCUGGGGAGUACGGCCGCAAGGUUAAAACUCAAAGGAAUUGACGGGGGCCCGCACAAGCGGUGGAGCAUGUGGUUUAAUUCGACGCAACGCGAAGAACCUUACCUGGGUUUGACAUCUCGGGGAUUUUUUGGAAACAAGAAAGUGCCCUUCGGGGAGCCCGAAGACAGGUGCUGCAUGGCUGUCGUCAGCUCGUGUCGUGAGAUGUUGGGUUAAGUCCCGCAACGAGCGCAACCCUUAUCUUUAGUUACCAUCACUUCGGGUGGGGACUCUAAAGAUACUGCCCCGGUCAACGGGGAGGAAGGUGGGGAUGACGUCAAGUCCUCAUGGCCUUUAUGCCCAGGGCUACACACGUGCUACAAUGGGCGAUACAAAGGGUAGCGAGCCUGCGAAGGUGAGCCAAUCCCAAAAAGUCGUUCUUAGUUCGGAUUGGAGUCUGCAACUCGACUCCAUGAAGCUGGAAUCGCUAGUAAUCGCGGAUCAGCACGCCGCGGUGAAUACGUUCCCGGGCCUUGUACACACCGCCCGUCACACCAUGAGAGUUGGUUGUACCAGAAGUUGUUGGGCUAACCCGCAAGGGAGGCAGGCACCUAAGGU